rnacentral:rRNA from 1 species
UUCUGGCUCAGGAUGAACGCUGGCGGCGUGCCUAAUACAUGCAAGUCGAACGAAUUUAAGGAGCUUGCUCCUUGAAGUUAGUGGCGAACGGGUGAAUAACACGUAGGUAACCUGCCCUUUAGCUUGGGAUACCCAGAGGAAACUUUGGCUAAUACCGGAUAACAACAGAAGAGGCAUCUCUUCAGUUUGAAAGGCCCUUUACGGGGUCACUUAAGGAUGGACCUGCGGCGCAUUAGUUAGUUGGUGAGAUAACAGCCCACCAAGACGAGGAUGCGUAGCCGACCUGAGAGGGUGAUCGGCCACAUAGGUACUGAGACACGGACCUAACUCCUACGGGAGGCAGCAGUAAGGAGUUUUCGGCAAUGGGGGAAACCCUGACCGAGCAACGCCGCGUGAGUGAAUGACGGCCCUAUGGGUUGUAAAGCUCUGUUAGAUAAGGACGAAUGACUAGCUUAGGAAAUGAAGUUAGUUUGACGGUACUUUUCAAGAAAGCCACGGCUAACUACGUGCCAGCCGCCGC